rnacentral:rRNA from 1 species
UACAGAGGGUGCUAGCGUUGUUCGGAAUCAUUGGGCGUAAAGGGCGUGUAGGCGGUUUGCUAAGUCAUGUGUGAAAUCCCUCGGCUCAACCGGGGAACGACGCAUGAAACUGGCAGCUAGAGUACCAAAGAGGGGGUGGAAUUCCCGGGUGUAGCGGUGAAAUGCGUAGAUAAUCGGGAGGAACACCUGUGGCGAAGGCGGCCCCCUGGUUGGAUACGU